rnacentral:rRNA from 1 species
AGUUUGAGUCCUGGCUCAGGAUGAACGCUGCGGCGUGCUUAACACAUGCAAGUCGAACGAGAAUCAGUGGAUUGAGGAUUCGUCCAAAUGAAACUGAGGAAAGUGGCGGACGGGUGAGUAACGCGUGAGGAACCUGCCUCGGAGUGGGGAAUAACGGUUGGAAACAGCCGCUAAUACCGCAUGAUGCAGCUGAGCCGCAUGGCUCUGGCUGCCAAAGAUUUAUCGCUCUGAGAUGGCCUCGCGUCUGAUUAGCUGGUUGGCGGGGUAACGGCCCACCAAGGCGACGAUCAGUAGCCGGACUGAGAGGUUGGCCGGCCACAUUGGGACUGAGACACGGCCCAGACUCCUACGGGAGGCAGCAGUGGGGAAUAUUGGGCAAUGGGCGCAAGCCUGACCCAGCAACGCCGCGUGAAGGAAGAAGGCUUUCGGGUUGUAAACUUCUUUUCUUGGGGACGAACAAAUGACGGUACCCGAGGAAUAAGCCACGGCUAACUACGUG